rnacentral:rRNA from 1 species
GACGAACGCUGGCGGCGUGCUUAACACAUGCAAGUCGAACGGUGAAGGGACCGGUUUUUGCUGGUUCUGGAUGAGUGGCGAACGGGUGAGUAACACGUGAGUAACCUGCCCCCUUCUUCUGGAUAACCGCAUGAAAGUGUGGCUAAUACGGGAUAUUCUGCGCCUGCUGCAUGGUGGGUGUGGGCAAGAUAUUGUUUCUGUGGGGGAUGGGCUCGCGGCCUAUCAGCUUGGUGGUGGGGUGAUGGCCUACCAAGGCGGUGACGGGUAGCCGGCCUGAGAGGGUGGACGGUCACACUGGGAAUGAGACACGGCCCAGACUCCUACGGGAGGCAGCAGUGGGGAAUAUUGCACAAUGGGAGCAAGCCUGAUGCAGCGACGCCGCGUGAGGGAUGGAGGCCUUCGGGUUGUAAACCUCUUUCGCCAGUGAAGCAGGCCUGUCCCUUUUGUGGGUGGGUUGACGGUAGCUGGAUAAGAAGCGCCGGCUAACUACGUG